rnacentral:rRNA from 1 species
AGCGUGGGGAGCAAACAGGAUUAGAUACCCUGGUAGUCCACGCCGUAAACGAUGUAUGCUAGAUCGGUGCGGUUUUGACGCCGUAUCGGUCGACGUGAAAACGAUAAGCAUACCGCCUGGGGAGUACGGUCGCAAGGCUAAAACUCAAAUGAAUUGACGGGGGCUCACACAAGCGGUGGAGCAUGUUGCUUAAUUCGAGGCAACGCGAAGAACCUUACCUGGGCUUGACAUGGCCGGAUUAACUCUUUGAAAGAAGAGCCAGGCCCGCAAGGGUACAACGGUCACAGGUGCUGCAUGGCUGUCGUCAGCUCGUGCUGUGAAGCGUCGGGUUAAGUCCUCUAACGAGCGCAACCCCUAUCGUUAGUUGCUCGGAGCAAUCCAGUACUCUAGCGAGACUGCCGUUGUAAGACGGAGGAAGGUGGGGAUGACGUCAAGUCCUCAUGGCCCUUACGCCCAGGGUUGCAAACGUGCUACAAUGGUGCAGACAAAGCGAUGCAAGAGCGCAAGCUGGAGCAAAUCGCAAAAAUCGCACCCCAGUUCGGAUUGCAGGCUGCAACCCGCCUGCAUGAAGUCGGAAUCGCUAGUAAUCGGAGAUCAGCUACGCUCCGGUGAAUGUGUUCCUGAGCCUUGUACACACCGCCCGUCACGUCAUGGGAGCCGAGAGUGCCCGAAGUCGCUGCAUUUCAGCAGUGCCCACGGCAAGAUCGGUGACUGGGACGAAGUCGUAACAAGGUAGCCGUAGGAGAACCUGCGGCUG